rnacentral:rRNA from 1 species
CCUACGGGUGGCAGCAGUGGGGAAUAUUGGUCAAUGGGCGCAAGCCUGACCCAGCAACGCCGCGUGAAGGAAGAAGGCCCUCGGGUUGUAAACUUCUUUUAUCAAGGACGCAACAAAUGACGGUACUUGAUGAAUAAGCCUCGGCUAACUACGUGCCAGCAGUCGCGGCAAUACGUAGGUGGCAAGCGUUAUCCGGAUUUACUGGGUGUAAAGGGUGUGUAGGGGGGAAUGCAAGUCAGAUGUGAAAAGUAUGGGCUCAACCCAUGGCCUGCAGUUGAAACUGUAGUUCUUGAGUGUUGGAGAGGCAGGCGGAAUUCGGGGUGUAGCGGUGAAAUGCGUAGAUAUACGGAGGAACACCGAUGGCGAAGGCAGCUUGCUGGACAAUAACUGACGCUGAGGCGCGAAAGCGUGGGGAGCAAACAGGAUUAGAUACCCCAGUAGUC